AUGAGGCUCCCUGAUCAGCUCCUGGGGCUCCUGGUGCUCUGGGUCCCUGGAUCCAGUGGGGAUAUUGUGAUGACCCAGACUCCACUCUCCCUGCCCAUCACCCCUGGAGAGCCGGCCUCCAUCUCCUGCAGGUCUAGUCAGAGCUUCUUGGAUAGUGAUGAUGGAUACACCUAUUUGGAUUGGUACCUGCAGAAGCCAGGCCAGCCUCCACAGCCCCUAAUCUAUUUUGUUUCAAGCCGGGCCUCUGGAGUCCCAGACAGGUUCAAUGGCAGUGGAUCAGGCAGUGAUUUCACACUGAAAAUCAGCGGGGUGGAGGCUGAUGAUGUUGGGGUUUAUUACUGCAUGCAAUGUAUAGAGUUUAUUUCCACAGUGGUACAGCCUGGAAAAGAAACCUCCCUGCUGGGGUGUCCCAGUUGCUCACAUGCAGUACUUUUCUGGAGAGCAGCUCAGCAGAGUCUCUGAAUCUGCAGGAGAGGAGGCUGUUGGGGAAUUCAGGGCAGAGUUUGUUGCUGAGGACUCUGCCUG